UUCAUCUCUGGUUUAGGAGCUUGGGGAGGUGAGGCUACUGCCUACUGCUUCCACCACCUCCCCCCUCCCCCAUUUCUUUUCGCUAGCCACCACUCAUUCUAGCGAUCCUGACGCUUCAAAGCUCUCCGCUACCUCCAUCGAUCUUAUCUUAGUGACAGUGGACGAACUACACCUCCCUCGGCUCUGAUCCAAACCUCGGGAGGGCUUUUUCUGUUGAGAUCUCAAAGUUUUGGAGUGGUUUGGCGCACCAUCCGGCAUAUAAGUUGCCAGAUUCGAGGCGGCGGCUUCUGCAACAUGUCCGGCAACCAAAGGGUUUUGAUUGCUGUUUGGAGAUCGGCCAGUGAUGGCGGCAACGGCAGCAGUUGUUCGAUCCCUUUGUUUAAGUGCUACUGCUUAUGAUUUUCUCUUACGAGCAUAAAAGAAUUUUAAAAAAGGUGACUAGGUGUUGUUAGGCGGUUGUACACGUUCCUAGCUCUACUCUUUGGAUGCAGUAUAUAUAUGGUGAUACAAACACUUUUUGGAGAACGAUGAAGAGUGAUGAAGACGUGUUCUUUUGAAGAUAGGGAGUCGUAUCCUUUUGCAGAACACAUGGAGUUGCCUCAAUGUGUAGUCUUCUCCGUUCAGAUAUAUAAACUAGGUUUAGGGAGACUAGGUACACGAACUGACCCAUGAAAAGGUUAAUUUUCAGCAAUUUGUUCCAAUUCCAAUCAGGGUGGGUGGUGCCGUAGGCACGGGCAAACACUAUUUGAUUUUGAAAAACAGAACUGAAGUAUGCGAUGCACCAUGGCCCGAGCGGCGCCUAGAAGAUCCCGGUCCCACCGCCCGCCGCGAUGAACUCGGGCAUUGGCAGCUGGACAUUGUCCGGGAACUCAACGGAGAGGCUGUGGUCAAGUCAUCGUCGGAUGUAGAAGUGGUUGUUGGGGUCGAGGUUGGGGGUCAAGCGGAGGUUGUUGUCGUCAAGGCUGUAGGAGUGGACCUUGCGGUGUGGGGGAGCGGUGUCGGGGGCGAGAACAACCCGACGUGUUUUAUAUCGACACCACAACAACCCUUUGUUGUCCCAAAGAAGGCAGCGGCGGCGGAUGGAAGAAAUUAGACCAUUCCAUGAAUGUUCCGAGAUCGAACCCUCAUGCUUUCACCGUCAACAGCAAGAUCUACAUCAUGGGAGGAGUCUGAGGAGCUCAACCAUCUCCUAAGCCUGAGGUUCUAGAUUGGUGGCAAACAGAUUGUUUUGCAAUCUCGGUGUAUGCCCCAUCUCUAUUGUUGUAGCGUCGAAGCUGAUUCCCGGCAGGUUUAUCUUGAAGAUGUUUUAGGAUACCCUAUGCCGGAAUCCGGAUUCCUAAGCUGGAAAUCUGCAUUCCUAGACAGGAUUUUGUACUAUCUAGACAAAGAGAGGCCGGGGGUCAUGUUUGGCUUCGAUCUCUCUAGGCGGCCUGAUGAUGACACCGCAGCAGAUCCAAGAGGGUGAGAUUACCAUUGGGAAAGUCUAAAUGUGAAGAUUGGGAUUGGUUUUGGAUACCCCAACCUAUCCUUGGGGAUUCAGACGGUGUGUUGCCCGUGACGCAUUUAGUCACACUAGGAAGUGGGAAGUUGGCUGUGCUCUGGUCCGCGAGGAGUCGGGGUGAUGAACUUCAUGUUUAUUGCUCCACAAUCAAGAUGUCCAAGGGGGAGGAGAAACAAGAGGAGGGGAGUGGUGGUUAUUUUGACUUGGUGGCCUUUCCUCUAUCUUUGUCACAUGUGCUUGUACAUGGCUCAAACUUGAUGGACUGCAUUGCAGUGUGGGCAUGAGCUAAGCAAAAGCACUGGCAAUGUUGGCGCGAGGAUUGCCUGUGCUAGUCUUGCUACCAACAUGAUCCUCGUGGUCUAUUUUUUGAGGAAGAAGAUCAUCUCUCUCGCAGUGAGGAACGUGUUAAGGAAGGCCAUGGGAACAUGGAUGAAAUGACGGUGAAGUCGCCUAUUUCCGAUAAGGGAGAGGAUGUUCUCAACAUUCGCUCGGACCUUGCCUUCUCCUCGUAUCAAAAUAGUUUGGACCUUGCGUAGUUUAAGAUAAGAAAGGGGAUGGGCUGUCUGUUGAGAGGGAGAGAGUCAUAGAAAUAUACUAGAAACCAGGACAUAAAAAGUAGGAAA